rnacentral:rRNA from 1 species
AGUGAACGCUGGCGGUGGGCUUAACACAUGCAAGUCGAACGGCAGCAUAGUAAUAGGGUGCUCUUACGGGUGGCGAGGGGCGGACGGGUUCGGCAUACUUCCCUAUCUACUUUUACGUGGGGAAUAACGUAGGGCAACUUACGCUAAUGCCGCAUACGCCCAACGGGUGGAUGCAGAGGGUAUUAUGGCCUUGCGCUGUGUCAUCGGCCUAUGUCCGAUUAGCUAGUUGGCUGGGUAAAUGACGACCAAGCCGAGAAUCCGUAGAUGGACUGAGAGGGUGAUCGGCCACACUGGAACUGAGACACGGUCCAGACUCCUACGGGAGGCAGCAGUGGGGAAUAUUGGACAAUGGGCGAAAGCCUGACGCAGCAAUACCGCGUGGGUGAAGAAGGCCUUCGGGUGGUAAAGCCCUUUUGUUGGGAAAGAAAAGCUGUAGGUGAAGACGCCGCGGUUCUGACGGUACCUAAAGAAGAAGCACCGGCUAACUACGUG